ACUCAAAACUCAAAGGACUUGACGGUGUCCCAAACCAACCUAGAGGAGCCUGUCCUAUAAUCGAUAAUCCACGCUACACCUCACCCCCUCUCGAAACCAGUCUGUAAACCGCCGUCUUUCAGUUCGCCUUAUGACAGACCCAUAGCGAACACAACAGCCCAUCACUCAAACGUCAGGUCAAGGUGCAACUAAUGAGGGGGCAGCGAUGGGCUACAUUUUCUAUAACAGAACACCACCACCCACCACAUGAAACAUGGGCCAUAAGGCGGAUUUAGCAGUAAGCCAAACA
rnacentral:rRNA from 1 species